UAAGCUUUAGUUAAAUUUAAUAUAGUUUUGUCGUAACUAAGAUUUAUAGCUUAA
rnacentral:tRNA from 1 species